GACGAACGCUGGCGGCGUGCCUAAUACAUGCAAGUAGAACGCUGAAGGAGGAGCUUGCUUCUCCGGAUGAGUUGCGAACGGGUGAGUAACGCGUAGGUAACCUGCCUGGUAGCGGGGGAUAACUAUUGGAAACGAUAGCUAAUACCGCAUAACAGUAGAUGUUGCAUGACAUUUGCUUAAAAGGUGCAAUUGCAUCACUACCAGAUGGACCUGCGUUGUAUUAGCUAGUUGGUGAGGUAACGGCUCACCAAGGCGACGAUACAUAGUCGACCUGAGAGGGUGAUCGGCCACACUGGGACUGAGACACGGCCCAGACGCCUACGGGAGGCAGCAGUAGGGAAUCUUCGGCAAUGGACGGAAGUCUGACCGAGCAACGCCGCGUGAGUGAAGAAGGUUUUCGGAUCGUAAAGCCCUGUUGUAAGAGAAGAACGAGUGUGAGAGUGGAAAGUUCACACUGUGACGGUAGCUGACCAGAAAGGGACGGCUAACUACGUG
rnacentral:rRNA from 1 species